GACGAACGCUGGCGGCGUGCUUAACACAUGCAAGUCGAGCGGUAAGGCCCUUUCGGGGGUACACGAGCGGCGAACGGGUGAGUAACACGUGGGUGACCUGCCCUCAGCUCUGGGAUAAGCCUGGGAAACCGGGUCUAAUACUGGAUAUGACUCCAUGACGCAUGUUGUGGGGUGGAAAGCCUUGUGCGGCUGAGGAUGGGCCCGCGGCCUAUCAGCUUGUUGGUGGGGUGANGGCCUACCAAGGCGACGACGGGUAGCCGGCCUGAGAGGGCGACCGGCCACACUGGGACUGAGACACGGCCCAGACUCCUACGGGAGGCAGCAUUGGGGAAUCUUGCGCAAUGGGCGAAAGCCUGACGCAGCGACGCCGCGUGAGGGAUGACGGCCU
rnacentral:rRNA from 1 species